ACCGCCGUAGUUGUCCACAAUACUUAAAUCAAGGUUCUAGUUAGCUACUCUGGAACACAUGCAUUGCAAUCAAUUCCUUGAAGGAUAUCUAUAACCUUAGCAAUUCUAUAGUUAAGGCUAAUCCCUCAUAACCAUAAUAAACCCUAAAUCUAACAGGUGGAUCUAUUCAAGCAUUAUAGUUGUCACAUAAAACCAUAGAUGAAUAGAAAUCAAUAAUAAAACCACAGGAGUUCCAAGAGGACUCUGAAGAAGUUCCUCUCUUCUCUCCAACCCUAAACCUAUGGACAAAACUAAGUAAAGAAAGCUUAGCCGU
rnacentral:lncRNA from 1 species